GAUUUCGCCUAUCUAAUGCUCAGCGUUGCAGAGCGGCCUUCGGGCCGUUCGAGACUGCGAUCAUAUAAGACCUGGCGGACGGGGGCUGCAAUGCCCCCCGCCUCCACCAAAAGACCUCGUGAUGAGCGGGGCAUGGUCUUCGGACCAUCAGGCCAAACCUCCUUUGGAGUUCAGGGCUUGUCCUAUGGGGGCGAAUUAGGAUCGACGUGGGUGAAUAAGGGUCGUUUAGAUGCUGGGUGAGGUACGCCCGCUGAUCCCCUUCCGGGGUGAAGCUCGUCCGACAACUUGUGAAUGUCGCAAAUGACAACCACAAUGCUCAGGAUCUCCGCGUAGCUGCCUAACGGUGGCCGUGGUGAAACUAGGCGGGGCUGGAAUGGCCUAGCAACAGAAUAUUCCCAGA
rnacentral:tmRNA from 1 species